AGUGAACGCUGGCGGUAGGCCUAACACAUGCAAGUCGAACGGCAGCACAGUAAGAGCUUGCUCUUACGGGUGGCGAGUGGCGGACGGGUGAGGAAUACAUCGGAAUCUACUUUUUCGUGGGGGAUAACGUAGGGAAACUUACGCUAAUACCGCAUACGACCUACGGGUGAAAGCAGGGGAUCUUCGGACCUUGCGCGAUUGAAUGAGCCGAUGUCGGAUUAGCUAGUUGGCGGGGUAAAGGCCCACCAAGGCGACGAUCCGUAGCUGGUCUGAGAGGAUGAUCAGCCACACUGGAACUGAGACACGGUCCAGACUCCUACGGGAGGCAGCAGUGGGGAAUAUUGGACAAUGGGCGCAAGCCUGAUCCAGCCAUACCGCGUGGGUGAAGAAGGCCUUCGGGUUGGAAAGCCCUUUUGUUGGGAAAGAAAAGCAGCAGGUUAAUACCCCGCUGUUCUGACAGUACCCAAAGAAUAAGCACCGGCUAACUUCGUG
rnacentral:rRNA from 1 species